GUGUCGAUGAACGGAGGCACGCUCGCGUCGAUACGAUUGCGCUGGCAGUUCACAUUUUUUAAGAAAUUGCACAGCACGCCAUAAUAUCACCACAACAUGACGUGGUCGUCCACCGGGGGCUGGUUUAAUGAAAGCAGACCGACGGACAGACUUUAAGGCGUGACCAACUAAAAAAUGUGUCUCCUAAUUGUUAACUAAUAUCCGUACUGUUGGCCAUGUCGUGAAUAUAGCCGACGUAAGUCAACUAAAACUCCUCCGAGUCCCGUGUAGGUUACAGCAGCACGAAAGGCCCUGGAAAACAGUUUGUUUUUAUUUCAUCCACUAGCAUUAGUAGAGUUUGCUAUUUACUGUUUCUACAUACAGAAGCUCCUGCACAGCCACAGAGGACGAACGUCACCCAUGACCGAGAGUCCCCUCCAGACAGAACUUUCUAUGGGCUUGCCGCUGCACGGUUCACACCUCCCAUCUCGUUCUCCCUUUGGUGGUUGGCUGACUGUGAGUUAAGGAAGCGCUUGAUUUGAUGUGUAGCAGAUAGGAGUUAGGAAUUACAUUUUAGAGAACAGAGAUAAGGCAAAGGUCCAGGCUGAGUGAAAAGACACACUUGUACAGUUAUUUUGCUUACAAUGAAUCAAGCUGAGCAUGACCAGAAUCCCCCAGGGACUGGCCUUAGUACCUAAGUAUUACUGAAACUACCACCAGUAAUUACAUUACAUUACAUUACAGGUCAUUUAGCUGACGUGGCAGGCGUCACGCUCAGGUACACUUUGACCUGGGACAUGGGGAAGCCGGGACUCAAACCACCUACACUGCGGCUCCCGGUGCACCCUCUCUACCCCUGCGCCACGACAACCCCCAACGGCCUUUUAAAGCAUUAAAAUCCUAAUGUAUCUUUUCUUAGUUAUGACUUUUGAAACAUAUCAAUAAGAGAACGACAAUGGAUAAUACCUUUUGUAAGAUAUUAUUAAGGCUUACUACCCUUUUUAACACAUUCCCUUUCUUUCAUCAUUCAAGUUCUCACAGAUUUUUUAAGUCGUGCAAAACAAGUGUUAGUUUCAUCAUACUCAUUGCGUUAGUCGUCAUACUGUCCUCGAGAUAAACAGGGUUUACCAGGCUGCAUUAGAAGAGAAUAGAUGCCUUUGCUCGACUCAAUUAGUUUUUGCUGCUCUUUUGUCAUAAAGACGAAAGGCAAUAUGACGUUCGCUGGCUACAGUCAUCUGUGUAGAUAGGGAAUUUGGUUACAUCGUGUGUUGGCUGAGAGUCUCAAUUGUGCGUUAGCAACGUCUUUUGUAGAGAAAAGGCAAUCUGAAGGAGUGAAAACUGCCUGAGGCCGUCACAGCUGCCCAUCCAUUCCCAUCAAACACAAAAAUCCAGCACACACUUUGGUCUUGAUUUAUCUUACUUGACAUAUCAAUAGCAUUAGAUGCUGUUAUGUAAUAGUUCAUUUAAUGCUGUUUGGUUUAGCAGUGUGUUUCUUGUAACCAUGGCAACAAUAGUAGUUUUUACAUGGACAUAUUCAAAUAUUGAACUUCCCUGCUUUGUACAUUAUGCAAAAUCCCACUGCCUCAGUGAGUGAUGACAAAUCAGUCAGUUUGCAUGUUUAGUCCAUUAACUGCAAAUCACAUGCACGUCAAAGCACGUGGAGUGUAUAACCUAUACUUAAACCAAUAGUGUUAUUGGUUAACUCGUGUUUUGUGUUUUUACUGUGGUGUUGAAAUUGCCAUGCACACAAUUUAAACUUCUUUGAUGCACACACUCCCUUAUGUCUGCUUCCAAUGUUGUAUUUUUUACUUUCUGUGUGAUAUAAGUGUAUAGCGCCAGAAUCACCAGCAAUAACACAGUCACGAUGUUCACCCUUAAUUAUAAAAUGAAUUAAUGGCAGUCGUUGCCUUCCUGAAAAUCAAUAAAUUAUAUUUUAAAAGUGAA